CGAAAGCCUGACGGAGCAAGACCGCGUGGGGGAAGAAGGCUCUUGGGUUGUAAACCCCUUUUCUCUGGGAAGAAAGUUGUGAAAGCAACCUGACGGUACCAGAGGAAUCAGCAUCGGCUAACUCCGUGCCAGCAGCCGCGGUAAGACGGAGGAUGCAAGCGUUAUCCGGAAUGAUUGGGCGUAAAGCGUCCGCAGGUGGCUUAUCAAGUCGAUUGUCAAAGGUCCUGGCUCAACUGGGAAGAGGCAGUGGAAACUGAAAAGCUAGAGUGCGGUAGGGGUAGAGGGAAUUCCCGGUGUAGCGGUGAAAUGCGUAGAGAUCGGGAAGAACACCAGUGGCGAAAGCGCUCUACUAGACCUGCACUGACACUCAGGGACGAAAGCUAGGGGAGCGAAUGGGAUUAGAU
rnacentral:rRNA from 1 species